rnacentral:lncRNA from 1 species
CACCCUCAAUAUUUUGUCAACUAGGUCGGUGAGUUUUAUAUUAGACUUAGUGUUCAUCCUUUAAUAAAGUUUUACUAUAGACUUAUUAAUAAUAAAAAGCUUUAUGAUAUUUAUCGCCUAACCAUUAUACACCAUACAAAUCAUCAAGAUUUAGACCAUGAUUAAUGCACUAACAAUAAAAGAAGUGUAAAAGAAACUCGAUGAUGAUGGUGGAUAAUUGAAUAAGGAAACAAUGGAGAAAUUUGAACAUUAAAAACUUCAUUCGUCGUGUAAAUUUGCAGAUGGUGAUGACGUCUCUAUGGUAAGUCGCUCUCACGCCCCAAUACGUCCAUAUACCACCGACUCCGACUCAGACUCACUCGCUGCUGCCUCUGUAACAUCCAUUUGUUCACAAUCCAAACUCAUCAUGAAUAGGGGACGCUAGUCUUGACCUACACACAUCAUCAACUUAUUACCAAUAAUAAAAACAAUAAUUUUUCUCUGCCCUUUCGAAACCCACGCAUUUAAUCUGCAUUGCGUUUUUAUUAUAGGCUUCAAUUAAAUGAUAAAAUAACUAAUUACUGCUAUAUUCUUAUAUAAGAUUAAUAGAGGAUGAAAUGAAACUCGAAUUUGUUUCUUUAUCUAUUCCAAAUUCUGAAAAGAAAAAAUCAACUAUUGAUACUAAUUUACUUAUUAAUUAUUAAUAUGCACGCGCACACAUGUUUAAUUGUGUAUGUAACUAUUAAAUCAUGUCAAAAUUGGCAUUAACUUAUAAAAAAGUAGGAAGAUAAAAGAAAAAUUAAGGAAAAUCAUCAUUAUCAUCCAAACAAAAUUCAUUACUAAAUUAUUUUAGCUAUAGACAAAGGAAAUGGAAAAGCCAAAGACGCCAACACAUGGGUGUUUUUGCGUGCUAGAGGCGUAACCAUCCACAUCGGCAGUCCCUUGCCCACAAGCCGCUACGUGGAUUUCCCUUCCUCGUUUCUCUUUUUCCUUUCAUUUUUCAACUCCAAAACGCCCUUUUGGACUCCCCGGGCGAAAGCUAUUGAAAUUACAUCCUCAUGUUUACACUACCAAGUCUCAAGUUUUAAUUGUUUUUUCUAUUAUCACAAUAGAAAAUUAGAUAUAUGUCAGUCUUUAGCAAGACAUUUUUUUUUUUCUUUUUUGAACUGUCUUUUAGUGCCACAAUAUGUACGAACUAUCAGAAGGAGACCACCUAUUUGAUAAGAUUAUACUUAGAUGCCAUUUAUUCUUCACUAUUUGAAGAUAAAAUAUUAUUCAACGAAGAAUCUAUUCCAAUUUUAUUUUUACUAAAUAAUCACGUUCAUCCCCAUCAGAUAAAAGAUAAAAUAUAAAUCACAAGGCUAAAAAAUAAUAACUAUUUCAUUAAACCCUCUAACUUCACACGCUUAGCAGUUCAUCAAUGAUAGCAAAUGAUUGAUAAUAAAAUUGAAACAUUGAUCAAGAACAUAUAGAAAACUUACAUUUUCGUUGGGGUGCCUGGCCACAUAAUAAAUAAAUAAGUAAAUACUUAGCUCUAUGUCCAUGUUAUAUAUGUAUGCAGCGAGAAAGAUGUAUGUAUAUAUAUAUAUAUAUAUAGAUAUAUAUAUAGAUAGAGAGAGAGAGAGAGAAAAGAAAGAUAGAAAUGAUCGAUGGUGUGUGUCGGCCAAAAUUGGAUUUAUCUUAA